rfam:Aedes albopictus isolate Foshan contig55900, whole genome shotgun sequence.
UGCCCAGCAACUCCUAUCCCUACCUCCUCGCGGUACCGGCCGGAAACUAUGAGCAACCUUAGGGAGCGUUCAUAAAUUACGUCACGCUCUGAGGGGGGAGG